rnacentral:rRNA from 1 species
UAUACAUGCAGUCGUACGCUUCUUUUUCCACCGGAGCUUGCUCCACCGGAAAAAGAAGAGUGGCGAACGGGUGAGUAACACGUGGGUAACCUGCCCAUCAGAAGGGGAUAACACUUGGAAACAGGUGCUAAUACCGUAUAACAAUCGAAACCGCAUGGUUUUGAUUUGAAAGGCGCUUUCGGGUGUCGCUGAUGGAUGGACCCGCGGUGCAUUAGCUAGUUGGUGAGGUAACGGCUCACCAAGGCCACGAUGCAUAGCCGACCUGAGAGGGUGAUCGGCCACAUUGGGACUGAGACACGGCCCAAACUCCUACGGGAGGCAGCAGUAGGGAAUCUUCGGCAAUGGACGAAAGUCUGACCGAGCAACGCCGCGUGAGUGAAGAAGGUUUUCGGAUCGUAAAACUCUGUUGUUAGAGAAGAAUAAGGAUGAGAGUAACUGUUCAUCCCUUGACGGUAUCUAACCAGAAAGCCACGGCUAACUACGUGCCAGCAGCCGCGGUAAUACGUAGGUGGCAAGCGUUGUCCGGAUUUAUUGGGCGUAAAGCGAGCGCAGGCGGUUUCUUAAGUCUGAUGUGAAAGCCCCCGGCUCAACCGGGGAGGGUCAUUGGAAACUGGGAGACUUGAGUGCAGAAGAGGAGAGUGGAAUUCCAUGUGUAGCGGUGAAAUGCGUAGAUAUAUGGAGGAACACCAGUGGCGAAGGCGGCUCUCUGGUCUGUAACUGACGCUGAGGCUCGAAAGCGUGGGGAGCAAACAGGAUUAGAUACCCUGGUAGUCCACGCCGUAAACGAUGAGUGCUAAGUGUUGGAGGGUUUCCGCCCUUCAGUGCUGCAGCUAACGCAUUAAGCACUCCGCCUGGGGAGUACGACCGCAAGGUUGAAACUCAAAGGAAUUGACGGGGGCCCGCACAAGCGGUGGAGCAUGUGGUUUAAUUCGAAGCAACGCGAAGAACCUUACCAGGUCUUGACAUCCUUUGACCACUCUAGAGAUAGAGCUUCCCCUUCGGGGGCAAAGUGACAGGUGGUGCAUGGUUGUCGUCAGCUCGUGUCCUGAGAUGUUGGGUUAAGUC